UCAGUUUCUGCUGUUUAUAAGCUCCCUAGUUUAUGGCAUUUUAUUAUAGCAGCCUAAACUGGCAAAGACAAAGCCUCCCUGGGGGAGUCCUUGUCACCUGCAUUGCUGUGGCCCUUUUUCGUUUUCUAAAACAAGACGCAUGGGUUAGUUCUAAGGUAACUCCACACACCCCCAAAACCAGCCUUUUGGCUCGAAGAAGGUACAGGAGUUCCUUACCUCCUACUCUAAACUAGCACCUUCUAUGGUCUGUUGUGAGACAAGGGGCUUCAACGACCCACAAAUAUUUACCAGGACACAACUGAGAACCUAAGCUGUGCCAAGAAGGUGUGGCCGCUGCACCUGAGGGCCCACUGUCCAGCUGGGAAACAUGACACGCACACAGCAAACAGGAAGCUCCUGGAGGAUAUGCUCCACAAAUACAGAGGGAUAACCAAGAAAGAAGAGGCCAUAAGAUGUAUGAAACAGAAGAUCCAACACAGGAGAGAAUCAAAGAAUCCCAGUUUAGAAAAACACCCAAGGAUUCCAGGUAUAGACAGAGGCAAGGACACAACUACUUUCCAAUGGCAGGCAAGGACAAUAACUAGGAUGUUGCCCUCUGCUUUGUCAUUGUACCACCCAGCUGAUGAGCAAGAUUUCUGAGUUCUUGGAAAUUAUCCAGAUUAGGAGAUGAUUUGCAAAAUGGGCACAAGCACAUGUAACAUCAGAGCUACAUGAGAAAUCAGAAGCAUUUUCCCUGCCUUCAGGAAGCUUUCAAUAAAUACUCUGCAAAAGCCAAGACAAGAAGCCUGACAUGAACAAAACCUCAUCAGGUGAGCUCUGAGUCCACCACCUACUCAUACUUCAUCAAGGCACAGGUUCCCAAGGGCUAAAGACAGUCAGAGACAUAGGAGGGCUUUUUUUGUUUAAGUGGUUUAUAUUUAGUUGUAAGCUAGUACUAGGACAGAGAAACCUUGAGAUUACAAAGAUGGAUAAUAAAUCCACCGAAGGAAGCAUAUGCAAACGUGAGCCUUUGAAUGAGGUCCUUGAAUCUCCUUGCCACAUUUCACAGCCUAAUCGUUACACAAGAUCUGUUAGCCUUCAACUCCUUCACUCUGUUCCUGUCCACUCAUCACCCCAACAACACAUAUUACUUGGCCCACAUCACACAGAGUGAAUAUAAUACAAGAAGAAU
rnacentral:lncRNA from 1 species